AAGUCGUAACAAGGUAACUGUAGGUGAACCUGCGGUUGGAUCAUUACAGUAAUUACCCCAGAGGGGAAAGAAGGGGCCGGCGACGUUUCGUGGUCCAAUUUUGUGAAUGCGUUUCCGUCUUUUGGCUAGCGGGGGUAGGAUGUUGCGCGCAUCGCGUAAAGGAGAAAUUCUCUGGGAGGCCUCCAGACCUCGCUCGGUGCGCCCCACCUGCUCCUCUAAGUGCUUAAAGGGCAGCUCGCCGCAGAAUCUCUCGUGCCCCCCCGAACAGAAGGGGGGUUUCCAGGGGUGAUGCAUUUGUCGUUCUUUGGGUAUCUGGACAUUGGCCGCAGAAACUGAAAGAAAAAAACAACUUUUGGCAACGGAUCUCUUGGCUCUU
rnacentral:misc_RNA from 1 species